UCACUUUCGUUGAUAAGAAUCUGCAUGUAGAAUAUUUAGCAUGUAGGAGAAAUACCUGCACAACAGAAGCUAGUCUUAUUUAGAGUAUACCAUGUAAUGCACUGUGUCUUAAAUAUAGGACCUUGAGCACUGGUUCAGAGGAUAUAUCGAUAGCUUAUAAUAUAUAGAGAGGGAUUCAUCAUUUUCAACUUUAAAACUCCACAAUCAUUAGAAAAGAAAAUAGCCACUCAUAACUAUUCUCUCUAAAUAUUACAUCAAAGGCUCAACCACAUGCAUGGGGAGCAGGUCGAACAGGUAGUCAGCGGGAUGUUUGAAACUGACCGGAGAAAAGGGAUAUACGAUGCAAGAUGUAUUGCAUUGUGCCCGAGUAACGCAUGCCGAUGGGGGUUGGCUUCGUCCUUGUUAUCUCAAUGGAUGGCAUUCAAUUGCUUCUCGCAAGUCACAUGCAUAGUGGGUGUCAUCAUGUGGUUGCAUGACACGCUGAAAUUUAACUCACGCAUAGUCUCGCGCCUUGAUCAAUCUCUAUAAAAGAAUAUGCAAUACAUCACCCGUAGAUAAAUUAAUCGGUCAGUUCAAAACUCUAAGACGAAAUUGAAGCAAACCAUCGACUUGUUCCUUUUCGGUCUUCAUGGUAGUGAUGUGGUCAUUUUCUUCCAAGAAGACGUUGCUAAGCACUGAGGUACGUGCUCAGCAGAUGGCUGGAGGUGGUAAGGGUGCAGUGAGGGCAAUGGCCAGGCUGAGGCGCAUCAUAGUUAUUCAGGAGGUGACAGCAUGCUCUUCGCCUACAUGGCAUAUCCCGCUAUUUAAAACACUGCAUGUAACGUGCAAAAGAAAACUGCAAAAGAUAGACAGUGGAUGAGAUGGGCUUUGGGAGAGAUUAAAGAAUCAGUUCAUGGAGAUUAAGGCAGUACCGAUUCCUUCUUAUUGAUUUGGGUCGACACUUGUGAGGAGAGAAAUUGUUAGACUUAAAGUCCUCUUCGUACAAAUCUUGCUACCCUGUUGGCAAGAUAUAAAGAAUAAUUUUUCCACCAUCACCAAAUUGUGUGAAGAUUCAGAUUGGAGAACACAUUAAGAAUCUAGGCGGAACACACA
rnacentral:lncRNA from 1 species